CAGCCGCCGCGGGAAUACGUAGGUGGCAAGCGUUGUCCGGAAUUAUUGGGCGUAAAGGGCUCGCAGGCGGUUUCUUAAGUCUGAUGUGAAAGCCCACGGCUCAACCGUGGAGGGUCAUUGGAAACUGUUAAACUUGAGUGCAGGAGAGAAAAGUGGAAUUCCUAGUGUAGCGGUGAAAUGCGUAGAGAUUAGGAGGAACACCAGUGGCGAAGGCGGCUUUUUGGCCUGUAACUGACACUGAGGCGCGAAAGCGUGGGGAGCAAACAGGAUUAGAUACCCGCGUAGUCCCUGUCUCUUAUAC
rnacentral:rRNA from 1 species